CGAUACGUUUGAACAUGUUCUAGACAUUGAUGAACAUGAUAAUUUCAAAUCAUGGUACGAUCAU
rnacentral:tRNA from 1 species